rnacentral:rRNA from 1 species
CAGUCGCCGCGGGAAUACGAAGGGAGCGAGCGUUGUUCGGAAUCACUGGGCCUAAAGCGUGCGUAGGCGGAUAUGUAAGUAAGAAGUGAAAUCCCGGGGCUUAACCCCGGAACUGCUUUUUAGACUGCAUGUCUUGAAUUCGGUAGAGGUUAGUGGAAUGUCCAGUGUAGAGGUGAAAUUCGCAGAUAUUGGACGGAACACCAGUGGCGAAGGCGACUAACUGGACCGAUAUUGACGCUGAGGCACGAAAGCGUGGGUAGCAAACAGGAUUAGAUACCCCUGUAGUCCCUGUCUCUUAUAC